rnacentral:rRNA from 1 species
AACAGGAUUAGAUACCCUGGUAGUCCACGCCGUAAACGAUGUCGACUUGGAGGUUGUGCCCUUGAGGCGUGGCUUCCGGAGCUAACGCGUUAAGUCGACCGCCUGGGGAGUACGGCCGCAAGGUUAAAACUCAAAUGAAUUGACGGGGGCCCGCACAAGCGGUGGAGCAUGUGGUUUAAUUCGAUGCAACGCGAAGAACCUUACCUGGUCUUGACAUCCACGGAAGUUUUCAGAGAUGAGAAUGUGCCUUCGGGAACCGUGAGACAGGUGCUGCAUGGCUGUCGUCAGCUCGUGUUGUGAAAUGUUGGGUUAAGUCCCGCAACGAGCGCAACCCUUAUCCUUUGUUGCCAGCGGUCCGGCCGGGAACUCAAAGGAGACUGCCAGUGAUAAACUGGAGGAAGGUGGGGAUGACGUCAAGUCAUCAUGGCCCUUACGACCAGGGCUACACACGUGCUACAAUGGCGCAUACAAAGAGAAGCGACCUCGCGAGAGCAAGCGGACCUCAUAAAGUGCGUCGUAGUCCGGAUUGGAGUCUGCAACUCGACUCCAUGAAGUCGGAAUCGCUAGUAAUCGUGGAUCAGAAUGCCACGGUGAAUACGUUCCCGGGCCUUGUACACACCGCCCGUCACACCAUGGGAGUGGGUUGCAAAAGAAGUAGGUAGCUUAACCUUCGGGAGGGCGCUUACCACCUUGUGAUUCAUGACUGGGGUGAAGUCGUAACAAGGUAACC